AAGUCGUAACAAGGUCUCCGUAGGUGAACCUGCGGAGGGAUCAUUACACAAAAAAUAUGCAGGCUGUACGCCGCUGUGCCCUCUAGGGGGCCAGUGGCUAAGGCUGAAAUAUUUUUCACCCAUGUCUUUUGCGCACUUGUUGUUUCCUGGGCGGGUUCGCCCGCCACCAGGACCACACCUUAAACCUUUUUUAUGCAGUUGCAAUCAGCGUCAGUACAACAAAUGUAAAAUCAUUUACAACUUUCAACAACGGAUCUCUUGGUUCUG
rnacentral:misc_RNA from 1 species